AGAGUUUGAUGCUGGCUCAGGAUGUACGCUGGCGGCGUGGCUAAUACAUGCAAGUCGAGCGAACAGACGAGGAGCUUGCUGCUCUGACGUUAGCGGCGGACGGGUGAGUAACACGUGGAUAAGCUAGCUAUUAGACUGGGAUAACUUCGGGAAAGCGGAGCUAAUAGCGGAUAAUAUAUUGAAGCGCAUGGUUCAAUAGUGUAAGACGGUUUUGCUGUCACUUAUAGAUGGAUGCGCGGCGCAUUAGCUAGUUGGUAAGGUAACGGCUUAGCAAGGCAACGAUGCGUAGGCGAGCUGAGAGGGUGAUCGGGCACACUGGAACUGAGACACGGUGCAGACUGCUACGGGAGGCAGCAGUAGGGAAUCUUGCGCUAUGGGCGAAAGGCUGACGGAGCAACGGCGCGUGAGUGAUGAAGGUCUUCGGAUCGUAAAACUCUGUUAUUAGGGAAGAACUAAUGUGUAAGUAACUAUGCACGUCUUGACGGUAGCUAAUCAGAAAGGCACGGCUAACUACGUGGCAGCAGGCGCGGUAAUACGUAGGUGGCAAGCGUUAUGCGGAAUUAUUGGGCGUAAAGCGCGCGUAGGCGGUUUUUUAAGUCUGAUGUGUAAGGGCACGGCUCAAGCGUGGAGGGUCAUUGGAAACUGGAAAACUUGAGUGCAGAAGAGGUAAGUGGAAUUGCAUGUGUAGCGGUGAAAUGCGCAGAGAUAUGGAGGAACAGCAGUGGCGAAGGCGACUUUCUGGUCUGUUACUGACGCUGAUGUGCGAAAGCGUGGGGAUCAAACAGGAUUAGAUAGCCUGGUAGUGCACGGCGUAAACGAUGAGUGCUUAGUGUUAGGGGGUUUGCGGCGCUUAGUGCUGCAGCUAACGCAUUAAGCACUGCGGCUGGGGAGUACGAGCGCAAGGUUGAAACUCAAAGGAAUUGACGGGGAGGCGCACAAGCGGUGGAGCAUGUGGUUUUAUUCGUAGCAACGCGAAGAACCUUAGCAAAUCUUGACAUGCUCUGAGCGCUCUAGAGAUAGAGUUUUGCGCUUCGGGGGACAGAGUGACAGGUGGUGCAUGGUUGUCGUCAGCUCGUGUCGUGAGAUGUUGGGUUAAGUGGCGCUACGAGCGCAAGCCUUAAGCUUAGUUGGCAUCAUUAAGUUGGGCACUCUAAGUUGACUGGCGGUGACAUAGCGGAGGAAGGUGGGGAUGACGUCAAAUCAUCAUGGCGCUUAUGAUUUGGGCUACACACGUGCUACAAUGGACUAUACAAAGGGCAGCGAAAGCGCGAGGUCAAGCAUAUGGCAUAAAGUUGUUCUCAGUUCGGAUUGUAGUCUGCAACUCGACUAUAUGAAGCUGGAAUCGCUAGUAAUCGUAGAUCAGCAUGCUACGGUGUAUACGUUGGCGGGUCUUGUACACAGCGGCCGUCACAGCACGAGAGUUUGUAACAGCCGAAGGCGGUGGAGUAAGCAUUUGGAGCUAGGCGUCGAAGGUGGGACAAAUGAUUGGGGUGAAGUCGUAACAAGGUAGGCGUAUCGGUAGGUGCGGCUGGAUCAGCUCCUU
rnacentral:rRNA from 1 species